rnacentral:lncRNA from 1 species
UGAAAAGUGCUCGGAUCUAAAUGAUCAUCAUUAGUAUUGGAGUUAAUUAAUGUUUUCUUUUAUGGAUUAGGUGCGGUUGUUGAAGUGACUUGCAAGGCUGGUGACAAGAAAAUUGUGAGUUAUGGUACCACUAAGAUCAAUGGAAAAUUUAGCGUCACAGUAGAAGGAUUUGAAUAUCGCAAAUAUGGAGCAAAGGCUUGCAAGGCUAAACUCCACAAUGCUCCAAAGGACUCAAAGUGCAACAUUCCUACAAACCUUCAUUGGGGAAUAAAGGGUGCUAACCUCAAAGUGAAAUCAAAGAAUAGUUAUGAAGUUGUACUUUAUGCAAAACCAUUUGCUUAUGGAUCUAAAACACCUUAUGCAGAAUGCCAAAAGCCCAAGCCUACACCUGCUCCAUACUAUUAUAAAUCUCCUCCACCUCCAUCACCGACUUAUGUGUACAAGUCACCACCUCCUCCAUCACCAAAGUAUGUGUAUAAUUCACCACCUCCCCCAACCCCGACAUAUGUUUAUAAGUCUCCACCACCACCUGCCUACUAUUACAAAUCACCACCACCACCAACUAAGUCUCCACCUCCACCAUCACCAAAACCUGCACCAGUAUACUAUUAUAAAUCACCACCACCCCCAUCACCGUCACCACCCCCACCUUACUACUACAAGUCCCCGCCACCACCAUCACCGAAACCUGCACCUGUUUACUAUUUUAAAUCACCACCACCCCCAUCACCGUCACCACCCCCACCUUACUACUACAAGUCCCCGCCACCACCAUCACCGAAACCUGCACCUGUUUACUAUUUUAAAUCACCACCACCCCCAUCACCGUCACCACCCCCACCUUACUACUACAGGUCCCCACCACCACUAUCACCAUCUCCUCCACCUCCAUACUACUACAAGUCCCCUCCUCCUCCAUCGCCAUCUCCCCCUCCACCAUACUAUUACAAGUCACCACCGCCACCAUCCCCAUCACCUCCACCACCCUACUAUUACAAGUCUCCUUCUCCUCCAUCGCCUUCUCCCCUUCCCCCAUACUACUACAAGUCCCCUCCUCCACCAUCCCCAUCACCACCUCCACCCUACUACUACAAGUCUCCUCCUCCUCCAUCGCCUUCUCCCCUUCCCCCAUACUACUACAAGUCCCCUCCUCCACCAUCCCCAUCACCACCUCCACCCUACUACUAUAAGUCGCCUCCUCCACCAUCACCUUCUCCACCACCUCCCUACUACUACCACUCUCCACCUCCACCAGUAAAGUCUCCUCCUCCUCCUUAUUACUACAGCUCACCACCACCACCAGUGAAAUCACCUCCUCCACCCGUAUAUAUUUAUGCUUCCCCACCUCCUCCAGUCCACUACUAAGAGUUUCCAGCAGUUCAGCCAUUCUCCGCGCUCAAUCAAGUGAGUAGUUGUUUAAAUUAGUAAAAAAAAUUUCAUAUGAGAUCAACUUUUUUUCAUUACAGCUCUAAUCUUCUAUUUGAUUGUUUCUUUUCAGAUUUUAGUUGGAAACACAAAUUAAAUGAUGGCUUCUUGAGGAAAAGAUUCAAACAUCAAUGGAACAAAGCAAUUAACUUAUGGAAUAAGACAUUCAAUUUUUCAAUUGAAGGAUUGAUUUUUAGUUACAUGGACCAGUUUGGUUCUACUUCUCUUUUAGCCUUCUUGCACAUUGUUCUCUUAGUGCGUUCACACAUGAACGUAUCUAAGCUUUGAUGCUUUUUAGAGUUCAUUUCUUCGUAAUUUAUUGUUUUAUAUUGAGGACCACUGUCCUCAUUUUAUUCAUUCCUAUUAAUUAUUGUAUGUUGUUCUUUUGUAAUACCUUCAUGUACUUUGUGCACAAAUCAAUAAAAAGAUCAAUUUCAUUACAUUCACUUUCUUUUCUUUCUUCUGCAUCUUUCCCCUCUUCACAAAUGUUACAAACAAAUUAAAUUAAUCUUCUCCAAAUAUAUCUAAGCAAAUUGGAGAUGAAAAUACCUACAAUUAUUUUAAGAUAUUUAAUAGUUUAAUGUAGAAGUAGUUCAUGACAUAACUAUAAGUAAAACACCUAAAAAACACCUCUGUGUUACCACAAUGAACUAGUUACUUCUUACCAAAAUGGAAGAAAAGCCAUUUUCCUUUUUCUUGUUUUAGUGUGGCAACAGAAAUUUUAACUGUUGCCUCCACAUGCAGUUGAUCUCAUCAUUGAGCAUUCACACGAAUUUCUAAAGAUUAUUAUAAUGAAGAGAUUAAGAAGGCUAUAAUAUGAUGCUUUGAAUAGUAACCAAAAAUGAAUGAAAAUAUCAAAAUACUUUUGAAUAACUUAUUUCAUGAACUGAUGCUUCUGAAAUAAAUAAUAAAACAUUUCAGAAUAAAGAAAAUUUGUCAAACUUAUUUUUCAAUAACAUAAAUACUCUUGGUAUGUUGUUUACACUGGCCUCCCAUACCACUUGUCAGAUUACACUUAGUAUGUUGUUCUUGUUGUUGUAAACUCGGAUUUGGUGAAACAAUUCAAUGUCAAAAAAAAAAAAACAUCAUUUCAGUUGGCAACAUAUAAUUUAAAGCAAUCAAUAUACAUAUUUGUAAUUUAUAAACCAUGUGUCCAUCAGACCAUCUCAGUAAAAAAGGUUUUUUUAAGUUAUCAAGGUUAUUGCGACCAACUAGUGAUCCAAAAGAAAAUAAAUCAUCUAUUCGCUAACAAAUUGAAGAUUUUCACCAUGCUUGAGAUCAGUUGGUACAAGAGUAUCACACUUAGGUUUCGAAUAUGUUGAGCAUUUCACAUAGCGCAUUUGGUAAUAGUUGGUACAAGAUUCAGGCAAUGCCACACCUUAGCAUUUACCAGUAAUAAACUCUAUCAAUGCCAGCGUUGUUUUAUACCAGCUAGCUUGAGUCCGCGUCAGAGAAUAUACAUAUCCUGUCUCCUCUACAGAUCAGCAGGAAAGUAAAACAGGGGAAAAGAUAUUAAUUAAUUUGGCUAAAUAAGUCAAAGUUGCUGCAAUUAUUUGUAAAUGCAGGACACCACAUGAUUUAAUAUCAUAGAAUAUAUGCACUAGCUUUUUUCUAGAAAUUUUCAAACUUAUAAGUUUUUAAAGGUGAUAUAGAGAUAUGCUUAUCAGCCCACACCCUGGCAAUUGAAAACAAAAUGGCAAGAGAGUGGAAGUAUUAAAGAAUAGCACUUUCUUUCCUUUAAGCCAUUACAUGGCAUGUGUUUUUGUGUGCUUCAUAUGGUGUGUUCCCAUAUACAGCAAGUAACAAACUACUUAUUGAAAAGAAAAUGUAGAAAUAUACAAAGUGAUACAGAGAUGGACUUUAAUAAAUAAGAUGACAACUUGUAGAUCCAGCUGGUAAGAACUAUUAAUAUUCUUUUUGCACUUUGAUUAUCAAUUAGAGCAAUUGAAUUGGUCCUUUAGACAGCUCUUUACUAACAACUACUUCUAAAGGUGUGUUACUAUAAAUGCAUAGGCCAAUGAAUCCCCAAAGUGCAUCAGUUCUCAACAGUAAAAACUAAAAGUUGUCUCUUUUACUCUUCAGUUAACUAGCCACAUUUGGAGGCUAGGUGGUAUAAUUAUCCGGCGAAAUGAGAAUUCAAGGUGGCGGCCCUGCCAAGGGUCGUCAAUAUUUGUCACAAAUUUUAGUGGCAUUGGCCAUUUUGGCUGUUGCUAAUAUAGUAUCGGCAGAUCCUUAUGUAUACUCUUCGCCUCCACCUCCACCGUAUGUGUACAAGUCACCACCACCUCCUUCUCCUUCUCCACCACCACCUUAUGUGUACAAAUCUCCACCUCCUCCAUCACCUUCUCCCCCGCCUCCAUAUGUUUAUAAGUCACCUCCUCCUCCUUCUCCACCUCCACCUCCACCAUAUGUGUAUAAGUCUCCACCGCCUCCAUCGCCAUCUCCACCUCCACCAUAUUACUACAAGUCCCCUCCUCCACCAUCACCUUCACCACCACCACCAUAUUACUACAAGUCUCCACCUCCACCUUCACCAUCACCUCCACCACCAUAUUAUUACAAAUCUCCACCACCGCCCUCACCAUCACCACCACCACCAUACUAUUAUAAGUCUCCACCGACACCUUCUCCUUCACCUCCUCCACCAUACUCCUAUAAAUCUCCACCACCUCCUUCACCAUCUCCUCCGCCACCUUAUUACUACAAGUCUCCACCUCCUCCAUCUCCAUCACCACCACCACCAUAUUAUUACAAGUCUCCUCCUCCACCAUCCCCAUCACUACCCCCACCUUACUUCUACAAGUCUCCACCUCCACCGGCUAAGUCACCUCCUCCCCCAUACUACUACAGUUCUCCACCACCAGCAGUGAAGUCUCCCCCUCCACCAUAUUACUACUACUCACCACCACCACCAAAGAAAUCACCUCCCCCACCAUAUCACUAUACUUCUCCACCACCACCUGUUAAGUCACCGCCUCCUCCAUACUAUUACAGCUCCCCACCACCACCAAAGAAAUCACCUCCUACACCAUAUCACUACAGUUCCCCACCACCACCAGUGAAGUCCCCUCCAACUCCAUACUACUACAAAUCUCCACCACCACCACAACCAAAGAAGUCUUCUCCCCCGCCAUACUACUAUACUUCACCACCACCACCAACUCAUUACUAUCCUCCACAUCAUCAAUUCGUGGUCAAAGUUGUCGGAAAAGUAUAUUGUUUUAGAUGUUAUAAUUGGAAGCACCCAGAGAUGUCUCACGGAAAGAAACACCUGAAAGGUACCAGUCUUAUAAUUUAUACUACACUCUAUUCUUUAAAAUAUAUCAUUAAAUAUUUAUUUAACUAUAUAUUUUCUUUUUGGUUUCUUUUCUCAUUAUGCUCUUAUCAGUAUUCAAAUGUGUAUUUUUCUUUGGAUCUUUGAUCCAUCUCUUUUUUCAAAAUAUGAAAUUAGAAUUAAAAUUUUAAAACGUCAAGAAAUGAUAUAAGGGAACUAUAGAUAAAAUACAUUGAAAAUGGAAGUACUUACUUCUUGCUUGGAAAUGAAGAACUGAUUUUGAGUGUGAUCUAUUCUCACAUUGGCCGACAUAAGUCUGUAUUGACACACAAGUUUCCUUAUUAGCAUACAAUAUAUCAUAAUAAAGCUAGAAAAUGAAUUUUUAUCAUGUGAUGAAAAGGUUUGUUUCAUUUUAUGUUCUAGGGGAAAAAAUUCAGAUACAAAUGAUCAUCUAUUAACAACCCAACUGUUUUAGUGUUAAUUAAUGGUUAUUGUUACAUGGAUUAGAUGCUGUUGUUGAAGUAACUUGCAAGGCUGGUGACAAGAAAAUUGUGAGUUAUGGUACCACAAAGAUCAAUGGCAAAUUUAGCAUCACGGUUGAAGGAUUUGAAUAUCGCAAAUAUGGAGCAAAGGCUUGCAAGGCUAAACUCCACAAUACUCCAAAGGAUUCAAAGUGUAGCAUUCCUACAAACCUUCAUUGGGGAACUAAGGGUGCUAACCUCAAAGUGAAAUCAAAGAAUAGUAAUGAAGUUGUACUUUAUGCAAAACCAUUUGCUUAUGGAUCUAAGGCACCUUAUGCAGAAUGCAAAAAGCCCAAGGCUACACCUGCUCCAUACUAUUAUAAAUCUCCUCCACCUCCAACACCGAAUUAUGUUUAUAAAUCACCACCUCCUCCAUCGCCG